rnacentral:misc_RNA from 1 species
CCUGUGAUGUUUGUGAUGUCUUGUGAUGUCUUCUUCCUACAUGAGCAGUUAUCUAAACAGAUGGCUGAUGUGUAUACAAACCCAGAGAAGCAUGUUGUCCUCAGCAACAAUGUCAAGAUACCCAUUCUUGGCUUAGGGACGUCCCAUGAUGGCGGCUACAGCCAUGAGGCAGUGGUGUAUGCACUCAAGAACUGUGGGUAUCGGCACAUUGACACAGCAAAGCGCUAUGGCUGUGAGAGGUACAUUGCCCAAGCAGUCAAGGCUUCAGGUGUGCCUCGUGAGGAGAUCUUCCUUGCCACCAAGUGCUGGCCCACAGACUAUGGUGCUGCCACCACCAAGGAAGCCUUUUUGGGCUCGUGUGAAAGACUGGCUGUGGAUUACUUAGACAUGUACUUGAUGCACUGGCCUGAGGUGAGCUCAGGGGUGCAGAACAGGAAACAGCUACUGCAGGAGACGUGGCGAGCUCUUGAGGUGUUGUUAGAUGAAGAGCGGGUCAGAGUGAUUGGUGUCAGCAACUUCCUGGAGCGGCACCUGGAGAUGAUCCUGGAGGAGUGCUCAGUGGUGCCACACGUCAACCAGUGUGAGUUCCACCCGUUCAACAACCCCAAGGCACUUCGCCACUUCUGUGCUGACAGGAAUAUACAGUUUGAGGGCUUUUCUCCACUUGCUAAGGGUUUGGCCCUCAGGCAGCCCAGUGUGAUCGCCAUUGCUGGGUGGCAUGGGAAGACUCCCUCUCAGGUGCUUAUCCGAUGGAGUUUGCAGAGUAACGUCCCCUCCAUCCCAAAAUCCACUAAGCUUGAACGUGUGAUGGAGAAUUCAAAGGUGUAUGACUUUGCUUUAACCCAAGAGGACAUGACGACUCUGGAGAACAUGAAGCAAAGUCUGACCUGUGUGGACCGAAGCUCCAUACAGACCAAGAUAGACAAUCCUUUGCCUGACGGGUACAAACUAAAAAUAGUCAAGCCUCCGCUAGAACCUUGAAAACUGAUUUUCUUUUUCUCGUCUUUUCUCUUCCUCCUUAUUCAUGAUCAAGAUGUGUCCUCAUGACUUCACACACUUAGAGAAGGUCUUGUUCUGGAAUGACUAGCAGGUAUACCAUGGAAUUCUGCGAGAUGUACUACUGAAAAGGAUCCUUUCAGCAGCAUCUUUAGCUAAGGAACACAAGAAGUUGUCUGGCAAGUAUGAACCAUUGUGGACAUGAUGGGAAUUCAGUGCUUGACCAAGGAAUCCUGGAGCUAGUGUUAAAACAGGUUGAGACCAGAUCUGCAGAAUUAUGGCAGCUAGCAGUUGCAACAUGACAGCAUCCCAGCCUGUCCUAUGCAUCUCAUCCAGAAUUUCUUGAAGCACAGAAUGUCUCAGGUUGGCUAAGCUCCCUACUUGCCAGACAUGUCUCCUUGUAAUACACAGCUGUUCAUUCCUUGCAGCUGAGGAUGUUGCUGAAAACCACUAAUAUAAAAACAGAGGUAACACUGUAUUAAGAUGCAUCUGGUAGCCAUUCCCGAACAGGACGUACAAAAAUACCAAUGGAAAGACUGAUGGGUAAAGCAUCUCUUCUGUUGAGUAAAGUGUAAAAUUUAAUCUUUUUUUGUCCACUGGCUGGAGGCAGUUACUUUUGAACAGACCUUACAUAGAGAACAGCUGCUUCAUAUAUACAACAUCUGUUUAAGAAAAUAUCUGACUUAAAGGCCAAGGGAUGAAAGAGUUGCUUAAGCUCUUCAGUAUCAAGACACAUUUAUAUAUUCAGUUUGCUUACUAUUUGGUGAUUUUAUACAGCUUUGGAAACUCAUGCAGGGGAUUAAAAUAGUGAAAAUUCUGGCCAUUAAUCUCUGACUUCCAUGGACCCUUCAUAACAUCAAUAAAAUGGUCUAAUGGUACACAAAUUUCCAGGUAAAGAUGUGUCCUACUAUUGAAGGGGAAGUUUGAGUUUUAACUCCUUCACUCCUUCAAAGUGUUUGCCUAGACUUCACACACUUCACUCCUUCCUGGUUCUCCUAUUGCUGCAAACAUUUUUGUCCUCCAGAAUGGCUCUCUGAAUGAAGGGGGCCCCUUUCAGCAGCAUCUCACACAACCAUAUUUCUCACACACAAGGAGUCAUCUGGAAGGUGGGUAGCCUUGUGAACUUGAGUAAUUUGGUGCUUGGCAAGAUGUAUCGAGUCAGUUUUGAGGAAAUGGCCAAGACUGUACCUGUGGGAGUUGGACAUGUCAUGACGUGAUCUGUUCAGGUUGGCAAGGCUUCCCAUGUUCCAGAAGAUGGUUUGUUGUGAUUCCUGCUGCCUUAGAGUCUGAUGCUGUUUAAAAGUUCUGAUCUGUGCAAAAUGUGACCAUCCAAUUCUGGAAAGGUUUUACAAAAUGCAGCAACAAAAGGAGCAGCGAGUGAAGAGUGUGUAGUCAUGAUCGCCACUUUUGUCCAUUGGCCUAAGGAUGAAUAUUUUUUGAAAUUUCUCUUACUGCAAACUGAAAUAAAAAUAAAUCCUGAUCCUUUCUAUUUUUGUUAUGAGGUUGAUCUAGAAAUGAAGCAAACUUGUAGUCUCCUACAAAUACAAACAUUUAGAUUGUUUAGUUUGCAAAACAAGAAAUCCUUAAAGCACAAUUGAUUAUGCUGCCCUCUUCUUCAUUGAAAACUUUAAUGAUCUUGUAAUUAAUAUCAGGCACAAAUUAUUGUAUUUGUGAAUGAAUGAAUUAUUCAAUAUUUUAUGUAUGGUCCAUAGAUAUAAAAAUCUAUACUACUUUGUAUUUCACACUACUGUAGCUUUUCAAAUUUUGGAAGAGAGCAGAUUGUGGACUCACUGAUGCUGAAAUAUUUAAAAAUCAGAUGUUAGCUCUGUGUUGCUAUGGUUAUCAAUAAUUAAAAAGGCAAUUUUU